rnacentral:ncRNA from 1 species
CGUCUCAUGCCUGAAAGGGCAACGGCGUCGAGCCGGAGCGGGAAGUCAGCAGCGGUCAUAGUAGUCACAGGAUAGGCCGGUGAGGCUGAGGCUGGUGACGAAGGAC